CUCUGAUGUGUCUUUUCUCCUGUCUUGUCCUCCUGUCCCUCUGAUGUGUCUUUUCUCCUGUCUUCUCCUCCUGUCCCUCUGAUGUGUCUUUUCUCCUGUCUUCUCCUCCUGUCCCUCUGAUGUGUCUUUUCUCCUGUCUUGUCCUCCUGUCCCUCUGAUGUGUCUUUUCUCCUGUCUUCUCCUCCUGUCUUCCUCUCAUGUGUCUUUUCUCCUGUCAUUCUUUUGUGUUCAGAAGAGCUUUGUGCGUGUGAGGAUGUGUGGUCUCUCUGUGUGUGUGUGUGUGUGUGUGUGUGUGUGUGUGUGUGUGUGUGUGUGUAGUGUCACAGGUCUAAACAACCCUUGAACCGACUGAUCAUUCUCUCUGAGACCUGCUUUGAAAACCACCUCCAGAACCAGCAUGUGGAUUCAUUUACACCAGGACUUUGGUGCGGGGGUUGCAGUGGUACAUCAGUGGUAAGGAGACUAGAGUCGGAGCUGUACUCUCGCUUUUUCCUGGUGUUGAAUGACAAGAACGCCAAGAUACAGUCUAUAGGAGAACAUCACACACCUGCAGGAGACCAGGUACAUAGUACACACACAUCCCCCAUCUAUGACCUAACCUAAUGUUACCCCACGGGGGUUUGUCUGAACAUAAGGAACCGCUCAUAUAAUGUCCACACCUCUCUGAAUACAUGUCUCCUGUCAUAUAUUCAUAAUCUAUAGUAUGUGGUAACACGUUGUGAUAUCAUGAUGUUGUUCAUCUGGUUGCACAUGCUAGUAUGGAAGGUGUGAUUUAUCCAAAACCAUACUGUUCAAUAUAAACUGAUUACAAGACCCCCCUACCCUGUGCAGUCACAGCCUGCCUCAACAGCACCUACCCAGGGUAGGGUAAACACAAACACAGAGUCAACAGCACCUACCCAGGGUAGGGAAAACACACACACAGAGUCAACAGCACUUACCCAGGGCAGAGUAUACACACACACACAGAGAGAGUCAUAAAAGCACCCACAUUUAUUAUCACCAUAGUAGUUGUAAACAG
rnacentral:lncRNA from 1 species